AUGUCCUAGGAAAGGAGAUGGAGACAGCCCUCCCCUUAACAGGGAUGGGAGAGGAUCUUUUAGGCCAUUCAGCACAUACACAUUUAAGGCAUUGCUGCCUUCUCAUGUUUUCUGUUUUCACAAGUAAAGGUGCUUAUCUAU
rnacentral:ncRNA from 1 species